CCUACGGGAGGCAGCAGUGAGGAAUAUUGCACAAUGGAGGAAACUCUGAUGCAGCAACGCCGCGUGAGUGAAGAAGUAUUUCGAUAUGUAAAGCUCUAUCAGCAUGGAAGAAGAUGACGGUACCUGAUUAAGAAGCCCCGGCUAACUACGUUCCGGCAGCCGCAGUAAUACGUAGGAGGCAAGCGUUAUCCGGAUUUACUGGGUGUAAAGGGAGCGUAGACGGCAUAGCAAGUCUGAAGUGAAAGCUCAAGGCUCAACCAUGGGACUGCUUUGGAAACUGUUAAGCUAGAGUGCAGGAGAGGUAAGCGGAAUUCCUAGUGUAGCGGUGAAAUGCGUAGAUAUUAGGAAGAACACCAGUGGCGAAGGCGGCUUACUGGACAGUAACUGACGUUGAGGCUCGAAAGCGUGGGGAGCAAACAGGAUUAGAUACCCCUGUAGUC
rnacentral:rRNA from 1 species